UGUAUACAAGUUUCUCCACAGUUUUAUGAAAAUCUCCGACAGAUUUUAUUGAAAAGAGAGAUCCGAAGAAAGGUUAUAGUUUUUCCAGCAUUUAACGGGUAAAUAAUUCCAGUUGCGAUAAUCGUUUUGGGACUGAUGGCAUUUCCCCCGAGUAUCUUUUGCUCAGCAUGAAAGCAUUUGCCAGAUGUCUAUUUUAAGUUCAGCCUCACAAUAUUGCUAAAUGCAGGAGGAUGGGAAGUCUAAGGCGAUAAUAAGGAUAAUGAAGACGGGGAAAAGUUAUGAAAUCGUUGUCAAAAAAGAAAAACAAGUGGGGGGCAGGAGCAGAAGGCGAUAGGAGAACAGACGGAGAACAAAGAAAAUGUCUGGCGGGAAAUUCAGGCUGAUGAAAAA
rnacentral:sRNA from 1 species